AAACGGAUAAAGAAGAAGACGGGGAAAUAAAGAAGACUCGGCGAUGUCUGCAUCUCUGCAACCACAGCCUUUCUUCAGUGGAAGUCUCCAAUUCUCCUCUUCUAAUCUUCAAUUUCGUCAUCGCUCUGCCCCAAUCUUCAGGUGGAGAUUUGGAAGAGACCAAGAUUCAAGUCUAGUUACCAGUAGAACCAAUGGUCAAGCAUUUCGAAUCUUGGCCAAUCCUAAUGUAUUCUUCAACCAAGGCUUCUUCAUGUAUAAAGCCAGUAUAUUUGGUUUUUGAAUAUGGUCAAAGAUUUGUAGUUGUAGGUAUGUUAUUAUUGAUUUGGUGAUUAAGUGCUUCAUGAUAGUAAAGUUCUCCAUGUAUAGAUGAAUAUUGGUUGAUCUAGAGGUAAAAUCUGCACCUGUCUUCAUCAUGUUGCACAAAAUAAAGGUGACCUUGUCAUUGUGUUAUGACUUCAUUUUUAUGCAGACAGAAAUGGUAUAUAUUUUUUAUUAUGCUUCAUGAAAAACAUCCAUGGCCAAAUGAUCUUGUUGUCUGCCACUGGCUGCAUGGAUUGUCUCUUUGAAUCACUCAUGGCUGUAAACAAUAAAUCAAGAAGUGAUUGGUAUCGAAU